rnacentral:rRNA from 1 species
AAAGCCCCUUCGGGGGUAAGUAAAGCGGCGGACGGGUGAGUAACGCGUGGACAACCUACCCCGGGGUUGGGGAUAACCCUGCGAAAGCGGGGCUAAUACCGAAUACGCUGUUCUUUUCCUGGGUGAUUUGUUUCACCGAGGAAGGGAACGGGAAAGGUGGCCUCUGUAUCAAGCUACCGCUCCGGGAUGGGUUCGCGUCCCAUUAGCUUGUUGGUGGGGUCAAGGCCUACCAAGGCGACGAUGGGUAGCCGGCCUGAGAGGGUGAUCGGCCACACUGGGACUGGAACACGGCCCAGACUCCUACGGGAGGCAGCAGUGGGGAAUCUUGGGCAAUGGGCGCAAGCCUGACCCAGCGACGCCGCGUGUGGGAAGAAGGCCUUCGGGUCGUAAACCACUGUCAGGAGGGAAGAAAAGCAGUUUCCGAACAGGGAGCUGUGUUGACGGUACCUCCAGAGGAAGCACCGGCCAACUCCGUGCCAGCAGCCGCGGUAAUACGGAGGGUGCAAGCGUUAUUCGGAAUCACUGGGCGUAAAGCGCGCGUAGGCGGCAGCGCAAGUCAGAUGUGAAAGCCCUCGGCUAAACCGAGGAAUUGCAUCUGAAACUGCGUAGCUAGAGUUCGGGAGAGGGCGGCGGAACUCCCGGUGUAGGGGGUGAAAUCCGUAGAUAUCGGGAGGAACACCAGAGGCGAAGGCGGCCGCCUGGACCGAAACUGACGCUGAGGCGCGAAAGCGUGGGUAGCAAACAGGAUUAGAUACCCUGGUAGUCCACGCCGUAAACAUUGGGCGCUAGAUGCUGGGGGCGUUAGAGCCUUCGGUGUCGCAGCUAACGCGUUAAGCGCCCCGCCUGGGGAGUACG